UGCCCGAUAGCGCACUCGGUAAAGCAUCGCAUUGUGAAACAGAAGUGACUGUCACGUCGCGGGUUCGAAUCCCGCCUUGUACCA